GCAUCGGUGGUUCAGUGGUAGAAUUCUCGCCUGCCACGCGGGAGGCCCGGAUUCGAUUCCCGGCCGAUGCA
rnacentral:tRNA from 1 species